UCGCGGGUCGUCCAACUGUUAGGACGUCGGGCUCUGAACCCGAAAAUGGUGGUUAGAAUCCAUCCCCGCGAACCA
rnacentral:tRNA from 1 species